UGUUUAUCUGGCUACAACAAUCAUAACCUCAAAAAGGGAAUUGGCCAUGUUCCCACAAAACAUUCUGGGAACGUGCUACACCAAACAUUCUAUGCGGUAAUGGAGGAUGAAUAACACAUUUGGAGAAGUGCAGGUUAAUAACACUUGGUGAACAAAUUUUUAUGGCAUAUAAAUCUGUAGAUGAUACCUGAAUUAUUUAGCUGUCAUAUUUUAAUUCAUUAAAUUUAAUUUUGUACUGAGAUUCACAGCAGAACUGAAGUACAGUUCCCAUAUACCUUGUAAUUGCACACCUCAUGAUCAACAUCCAGCCACCAGAAUUAGCCUUUUGUUAAACUUACGGACUUAACACAAGUACACAUACAUAAUUGCCACCCAAAGUCCAUGGUUUACCUUAGGGUUCAUUCGUGGUGGAACAUUCACCAUUGAGCUAUACAGAAGGUGCUCACUGCCCUAAAUGUUAUUUUUCCAGAAGUUAAAAAUGUUGGUAGGGUAUAUUUCUAAUAAAUGUCCUUUUUUUUCAAUCUUUAAACAGGCAGACCUGAAACCCUGGAGAUUUCCAGGCAUUUAUGAUAGCGGUCAUGGCAACUGGCUGACCUUUGAGAGGCAGCUGGAUGGAUACUCAUGGGAUAGAAGAUCAACUUUGAAUUUUAAUAAAUUUUUAUAAAC